rnacentral:rRNA from 1 species
UGACCAGACUCCUACGGGAGGCAGCAGUGGGGAAUAUUGGGCAAUGGGCGCAAGCCUGACCCAGCAACGCCGCGUGAAGGAAGAAGGCUUUCGGGUUGUAAACUUCUUUUCUGAGGGACGAAGAAAGUGACGGUACCUCAGGAAUAAGCCACGGCUAACUACGUGCCAGCAGCCGCGGUAAUACGUAGGGGGCAAGCGUUAUCCGGAUUUACUGGGUGUAAAGGGAGCGUAGACGGCAGUGCAAGUCUGGAGUGAAAGGCGGGGGCUCAACCCCCGGACUGCUCUGGAAACUGUACGGCUGGAGUGCAGGAGAGGUAAGUGGAAUUCCUAGUGUAGCGGUGAAAUGCGUAGAUAUUAGGAGGAACACCGGCGGCGAAGGCGGCCUGCUGGACCGUGACUGACGUUGAGGCUCGAGAGCGUGGGGAGCAAACAGGAUUAGAUACCCCAGUA